rnacentral:rRNA from 1 species
UACGGAGGGUGCAAGCGUUAUCCGGAUUCACUGGGCUUAAAGGGUUUGUAGGCGGCUUUUUACGUCAGUGGUGAAAUCUCAAGGCUCAACCUUGAAACUGCCAUUGAUACUAUUUAUCUUGAAUAUCGUUGAGGUAGGCGGAAUAUAUCAUGUAGCGGUGAAAUGCUUAGAUAUGAUAUAGAACACCGAUUGCGAAGGCAGCUUGCUAAACGAUUAUUGACGCUGAGGCACGAAAGCGUGGGGAGCAAACAGG